rnacentral:rRNA from 1 species
CCUACGGGCGGCAGCAGUGAGGAAUAUUGGUCAAUGGACGAGAGUCUGAACCAGCCAAGUAGCGUGAAGGAUGACUGCCCUAUGGGUUGUAAACUUCUUUUAUAUGGGAAUAAAAUGUUCCACGUGUGGGAUUUUGUAUGUACCAUAUGAAUAAGGAUCGGCUAACUCCGUGCCAGCAGCCGCGGUAAUACGGAGGAUCCAAGCGUUAUCCGGAUUUAUUGGGUUUAAAGGGAGCGUAGGUGGAUUGUUAAGUCAGUUGUGAAAGUUUGCGGCUCAACCGUAAAAUUGCAGUUGAAACUGGCAGUCUUGAGUACAGUAGAGGUGGGCGGAAUUCGUGGUGUAGCGGUGAAAUGCUUAGAUAUCACGAAGAACUCCGAUUGCGAAGGCAGUUCACUGGACUGCAACUGACACUGAGGCUCGAAAGUGUGGGUAUCAAACAGGAUUAGAUACCCGGGUAGUC